rnacentral:rRNA from 1 species
UACGUGGGGAGCAAGCGUUGUCCGGAAUCAUUGGGCGUAAAGCGCGCGUAGGCGGCCCUGUAAGUCCGUUGUGAAAGUCAAAGGCUCAACCUUUGAAAGCCGAUGGAUACUGCAGGGCUAGAGUCCGGAAGAGGCGAGUGGAAUUCCUGGUGUAGCGGUGGAAUGCGCAGAUAUCAGGAGGAACACCAAUAGCGAAGGCAGCUCGCUGGGACGGUACUGACGCUAAGGCGCGAAAGCGUGGGGAGCGAACAGG